ensembl:lncRNA
UCAGAUACCCAAUGCCUUUGUCACCAAGUACUCCCCCUUCAAUGCCAGCCAAAUUAUAAACUUGGGCUCCUUUGUUUAUAAAGUAAUGCCACACAAGCGUACUAAAUGAGAUGUUAGAGAAAAUCCCCUUAUAUGUCACAAUUCUAAGUUCCUUUCCACGCUGAGAUCCAUUUUCCCAGGCUUUGGAACUUAUGAGAGGGAAAGGGCAAUUCUCAAUGUUUCCAUGGUAAUAGAACAGGGGUCAGUAUUACUAUGCAAGCACUGAGAAGACUCCAACCAGAAGUUAACAGUUUAGCCUCUGUCGUACUUCAGAAUCACCAUGUCCUGGAUAGAAUGACAGCCCACAAAGGAGGAGCUUGUGCAAUCAUUGAUCCCUUGCCACUCAGCUGCUAACACAACUCUUCUCUCCACAAAUACCAACUCAGCUUUUAAUUUGAAACUGUUACGGAAGUUUCAGACAGGAAAAAUAAAGGAGUUAAAAGUGUGCCACUCUAAAAUAUGCCAAAUUAGUGUAUUGAUUACUUCAAGCUCAAAGCACUUUGGAAACUGUAGUUCCAGAAGUGACUAUCUGACCUGCCUUUUCCUGCAUCUAGCAAGCCAUAAAACUUCCAUGGAGAAAGAUGCCUUCCCUGUGCCAGGACAAGAAAAUAACCGUAUCCCCAGGCAGGUCUUGGUCCACAAAGAGAAUGCAUCUUUGCCAGAGGACCCAGCAUAAGUUCCAUAGACCUGCAAGCUGCCCUCAGGGCAUCUGGGACAUCUUCUGUUCAAGGACCAGCAGGUAAAAAGAAGAGUCAUUUUGGCAGGAGUAAUUGACCCUGAAGAGCAGGGGAAGGUAAGGCUGCUGAGCCCCAGUAGAGGCAGGGAGGGUUAUAUGGAGAAACUAGGGGAUUCACUUGGGAGCCACUUGGAACCACCCAAUGCAAUGGUAACUGCGAAUGGAUAUGUGCAGCAGUGUUGACCUCCCGGGAUGAAGGUUCAAAAGAUUUAAAACAAACAUUAUAGCAAGUGCUCUGGGUCCUCCCUGACUCCAACUUUUGUCUUUUUUAUUUUUCCUUCUCUUUAUUUUUUUAAAGUUAAAACAAAAUUAAUGUUAUAAAGAUGGGGUCUUGCUUUGUUGCCCAAGCUGGUCUCAAAGUCCUGGGCUCAAGUAUUCCUCCCACCUUGGCCUCCCAAAGUGCUAGGAUUAUAGGCAUGAACAACCAUGCCCAGCGCCCUCACCCAACCCCUUUUUAAAAAAACUAUAUACCUCUCACAGCCCAUGGCUAUCCAAAAACCCACAAGGUUUGUAAAGACGGUUCUCAGAAUUAUUGUUCUGUUGGUUAUUAGACUCCAAAGAAGGUACAAGUAAAUAUGAAUAGUCUCCAUCUAUGGGUUUUGGUUAAGGUGAACACUGGUGCUAAAAUUGAAAGGACAAGGACAGCUACUCAGAACGUUCCCAUCUUGUAAAAACCUUGACCCUGCUUCACUUGUGACAUCACCUGGUCUUCAGGUACUCCCUCAUGUAGUUCAAUUGAAUAAAGCCUUUAACCUCUAUGUGAGUCACUUUAAAAAACAUAUAAUAUAUAUGUUUAAUAAUUUUGUGUUGUUACUUGGAAUAGUUUUGUGCAAAACGCCAACACUGCCCAGUUUUGUGCCAAAGACAGCAUUAUCAAAGAAC